rnacentral:rRNA from 1 species
AGUGAACGCUGGCGGUAUGCUUAACACAUGCAAGUCGAACGGCAGCACAGUAAGAGCUUGCUCUUACGGGUGGCGAGUGGCGGACGGGUGAGGAAUACAUCGGAAUCUACUUUUUCGUGGGGGAUAACGUAGGGAAACUUACGCUAAUACCGCAUACGACCUACGGGUGAAAGCAGGGGAUCUUCUGACCUUGCGCGAUUGAAUGAGCCGAUGUCGGAUUAGCUAGUUGGCGGGGUAAAGGCCCACCAAGGCGACGAUCCGUAGCUGGUCUGAGAGGAUGAUCAGCCACACUGGAACUGAGACACGGUCCAGACUCCUACGGGAGGCAGCAGUGGGGAAUAUUGGACAAUGGGCGCAAGCCUGAUCCAGCCAUACCGCGUGGGUGAAGAAGGCCUUCGGGUUGUAAAGCCCUUUUGUUGGGAAAGAAAAGCAGCAGGUUAAUACCCCGCUGUUCUGACGGUACCCAAAGAAUAAGCACCGGCUAACUUCGUG